rfam:Triticum aestivum genome assembly, contig: Triticum_aestivum_CS42_TGACv1_scaffold_227590_3B
CGAGUACCCCCUUCGUCCGAAAAUACUUGUCAUCAAAAUGGAUAAAAAGGGGUGUAUAUAAAACUAAAAUGCGUCUAGAUACAUCCUCUUUUAUUCAUUUUGAUGACAAGUAUUCUCAGACGGAGGUAGUAUCUU